UUCGCUUCUCUACCAGAUGGUGCUCUGAAAAAACUAGAUAGGUAUACGGCGAGAAAUCACUUAAAUUAGUAAGAAUGACUACGCUGAGACCCUUCACCUGCGACGAUCUUUUUAAAUUUAACAAUGUGAAUUUUGACCCACUUACGGAAACCUACGGACUGUCGUUCUAUACGCAGUACCUGGCGAAGUGGCCGGAGUACUUUCAGCUGGCCGAAUCCCCCAGUGGACAAAUAAUGGGCUAUAUUAUGGGAAAAGUGGAGGGACACCUCGACAACUGGCACGGACAUGUGACGGCCCUAACUGUGUCGCCCGACUACAGACGGCUCGGAUUAGCUGCACUACUGAUGAGCUUCUUGGAAGACAUAUCGGAAAAGAAGCGGGCGUACUUUGUGGAUCUGUUUGUACGCAAGAGCAACCAGGUGGCCAUUAAUAUGUACAAAAACCUUGGCUACAUCAUUUACCGCACUAUACUCGAAUAUUACUCGGGCGAUCAGGACGAGGAUGCGUAUGAUAUGCGAAAGGCCUUGUCGAGGGAUGUCAACAAAAAAUCGGUGAUACCGUACACGCAACCUGUACGAUUGGAAGAUAUUGAUAUGAAUUGAUCCGUUAAUUAGUAUUAAGAUAAAAUUCGUAAAUAAUCUAAGAGUUUUGGUCUGUUAGUCUGGUGGUAACAAGAAAUUUUAUCCCAUUGACUGCUUGCCAACCGAACCUACAAUGAGAUCCCCCAAAAAACCCAACUCAGUUACAUUUGAUUAAUACCUCCAGUCUAUCAAAGACAUUGACACUUCUAUAAUUUUAUUGAAUUUUAAAUUAUUUAAAGAUUUCUUAAGCCGAUGCGUAAAUAACCGUAUUUGAAUAGAAUGUUCAACACGUCUAAAGAUCACAAUGCGCGAACUGCGCCAUCAAACCACUCACUAAAACUAGCAGCAAUACACAUUAGUAUAUUCACUCAAAUACAUAAAUAAAUAAAUAUGUAAAAA